rnacentral:rRNA from 1 species
UUUAGGGUGGUUAUAGCGGUGGGGCUCACCUGUUCCCAUUCCGAACACAGAAGUUAAGCCCACCAGCGCCGAUGGUACUGCUAACGCGGGAGAGUAGGUCGCCGCCAGUUU